AUGCGGCCGGCCGAAGUUUCGGCCGGCACGCCGAUUUUAAACGUUUCCCUACUUAAACUCCCUAAGGCCUCAGCCAAAGCAGCAGCACACACACAACACAAUACAAUGGGGCGCGCUUCUCAGCUUACAGAGCUCCUACACCAACAAUGGCAGCUCCUUGUAUUCAUUCUCCCACUUAUCUCCCUCCUCUUCCUACGCCGGAGAUGGGACAGGUCCGGUGGCCUUAGGCUGCCACCAGGGCCCUGGAAGCUGCCCGUCGUCGGCAACCUCCAUCAGAUCGGCCCGUUGCCCCACCGGAGCCUCUCGAAGCUCGCGAGGCGGCACGGGCCGGUCAUGAUGCUGCGCCUGGGCACGGUUCCGACGGUGGUGCUGUCCUCGCCGGAGGCCGUGCGGGAGGCUCUAAAGGUGCACGACGCGGAGUGCUGCAGCCGGCCUCCCGCGGCCGGGCCGCGUCUGCUGUCGUACGGCUACAAGGACGUCGCCUUCUCCCCCUACAGCGACUACGUCCGCGACAUGCGCAAGCUUUUCAUCGUCGAGCUGCUCAGCCGCCGCCGCGUGCAGGCCGCUUGCUACGCUCGCGAUACCCAGAUGGCAAAUCUUGUGAAGAACCUCACCAAUACCGGUCGAAAGCCAGUGGCGGUUGCCGACCACAUCUUUGCCACGCUGGACGGGAUCAUCGGCUCUUUCGCCUUUGGCGAAAACUACGGGGCGGAGCAGUUCAAGGGGCAGUUUGUCCCUGUGCUGAACGAGACCAUGGACAUGCUGAGCGGCUUCUCUACCGAGGACUUCUUUCCCAACAGCGUCGGUCGCCUCAUCGACAAAGUUACGGGCAUUAAGUCCCGUCGAGAGAGGAUCUUCAAGAAGAUUGAUGCCUUCUUUGAACAAGUCAUCGACAAGUGCGUCGGCGACAAUCCCAGUCGCAGAAGGCAGCCCGGUGACGAGUGCGCAUCUGUACUCGUGCAAGAGCUUGUGGACCUUUGGAAAAAUCCUGCAGGAGCCACCAACAGCUUCACAAGGGAACAUGCCAAGGCCAUCCUCAUGAACACUUUCGUCGGUGGCAAUCACACUAGCUCGGUGACAAUAAACUGGGCAAUGGCGGAGCUAAUUCGGCAGCCAAGGAUGCUCGGUAAGGUACAAGACGAAAUCAGGGCCAUCGGAGGCAAGACAGAGCUCCUGCAGCACGACGACAUGCCCAAGCUCAAAUACCUGAAGAUGGUGGUGAAGGAGACGCUGCGGCUGCAUCCCCCGGCAACGUUGCUCGUCCCGAGGGAGACCACGGGGCGGAUUCGGGUCGCAGGAUAUGACAUCCCAGCAAAGACAAAGAUCAUCGUGAAUGCAUGGGCUAUCGGUCGGGAUCCCAGCGUGUGGAAUGAUGAUCCAAAGGAAUUUCGCCCGGAAAGGUUUCAGGACAAGGAUGUUGACUUCAAUGGGGCACAUUUCGAGCUUUUGCCGUUUGGCUCAGGACGACGGAUCUGCCCUGGAUUGGCCAUGGGCGUGGCCAAUGUCGAGUUCAUCUUGGCCAACUUGCUCUACUGCUUCAACUGGGAGCUCCCUGAUGGGGUGAGCUGUGAGGAUAUCAACAUGGAGGAGGCAGGGGCACUGACUUUCCGAAAGAAGACGCCACUCAUGCUGGUACCGACAAGGUACAGUAUGUGUCCUUGA
rnacentral:rRNA from 1 species